rnacentral:rRNA from 1 species
GGGUGAGUAACACGUGGAUAACCUACCUAUAAGACUGGGAUAACUUCGGGAAACCGGAGCUAAUACCGGAUAACAUGUUGAGCCGCAUGGUUCAACAGUGAAAGACGGUCUUGCUGUCACUUAUAGAUGGAUCCGCGUCGCAUUAGCUAGUUGGUAAGGUAACGGCUUACCAAGGCAACGAUGCGUAGCCGACCUGAGAGGGUGAUCGGCCACACUGGAACUGAGACACGGUCCAG